GCGAGUGUAGCUCAGUAGGUUAGAGCGCUAGACUGUGACUCUUGAGGUCGCCGGUUCGAUUCCGGUCACUCGCCCCA
rnacentral:tRNA from 1 species